rnacentral:rRNA from 1 species
UACAGAGGGUGCAAGCGUUAAUCGGAAUUACUGGGCGUAAAGCGUGCGUAGACGGUUACGUAAGUCGGGUGUGAAAGCCCCGGGCUCAACCUGGGAAUUGCAUUCGAGACUGCAUAGCUAGGGUGCGGAAGAGGGAAGCGGAAUUUCCGGUGUAGCGGUGAAAUGCGUAGAUAUCGGAAGGAACACCAAUGGCGAAGGCAGCCGCCUGGGCCUGAUCUGACACUGAGACACGAAAGCGUGGGGAGCAAACAGG